GUCAUUGGUGGUGGUGAUGGUGAGGUCGGGGCUGGGAUGUCAUUGUCAUUGGUGGUGGUGAUGGUAAGGUCAGGACUGUAGCAUCGUCAUUGGUGGUGGUGAUGGUGAGGUCGGAGCUGUGAUGUCGUUGUCAUUGGUGGUGGUGAUGGUGAGGUCGGAGCUGUGAUGUCAUUGUCGUUGGUGGUGGUGAUGGUGAGGUCAGGGCUGUAGCAUCGUCAUUGGUGGUGGUGAUGGUGAGGUCGGGGCUGUGAUGUCGNNNNNNNNNNCUGUGAUGUCGUUGUUGGUGGUGGUGGUGAUGGUGAGGUCACUGUAGGAAAGCCCAGCAGAAUGGCCCUGAAGCGUGGGCUCCGUCCCUGAUAUGCCUUCCCAUGAUCUCUUUUCCUAAGGAAAAAUCAGAAUAAAUGAAGGGUGAAGGCAGCCUUGAAAAUGAAGCAAAUUAUAAAGGUAAACUACACGCGAAAACUUCAGGGGAGUCUAAACGUUUUAUCUCGAUGAUUAAUGGGUGCCUUGGGUAGCAUUCUCUACAUGUCUUAGGGCAUCAGGAAACAGAACUGCCCUAUUUUUUCUCAGAGAUUUAUUCAUUCAAUGAACAUAUAUUAAGUACCAAGUAUUUCCAGGUCUUAUUCCAGUGAUUGGAAUUCAAUAAUAAACUUACUGACAAAUUCCCCUGUGUCUGUAGAACUUACAAUCUGAUGGGUAAUAAAACAGGUCAGUAACAAUAAAAAUUGCAAUAAAUAAGUGGAGUAGGAAUUAAAUGAUAAAAGGUACUAUGUAUGUAAGAAUAAGGGAUCCUGGACACAGUUGUGAGCAAGGCUGCGAGGCUAAGUGUGCAGUCAGGGUGGGCAUCCCUGUGGAGGUGAUGUCUGAGCCUCCAUUACACUCAGAUGUGGACAUGAGCUGCCUGGGAAAGGAACAUUCCAGAGAAAGGCACAGCCAGGGUAAGGCUCUGACCUGUGUCCUGCAUGCUCAGUGAAGCUGCUUGGUUCAAGUGGAAUGAAAACAAGGAGAAUAAAAUUUUUUUUAAGUAUCAGAAUUUGCUCAGAUGCCAUCUCUACAGGUCAUGACCCAGCUCUGGGAGAGCCUUGGCAAUCUGCUUUAACCCUCAGAAUCCUCACACAGGGAGCGUGCAGCUGCUGCUGGUGGAGCCCAGCAGACAGACCCCGAGUGACUGUGGAUUCAUGAGUUACUGACCCGG
rnacentral:lncRNA from 1 species